AUACGUAGGUGGCAAGCGUUGUCCGGAAUUAUUGGGCGUAAAGCGCGCGCAGGUGGUUCCUUAAGUCUGAUGUGAAAGCCCACGGCUCAACCGUGGAGGGUCAUUGGAAACUGGGGAACUUGAGUGCAGAAGAGGAAAGUGGAAUUCCAAGUGUAGCGGUGAAAUGCGUAGAGAUCUGGAGGAACACCAGUGGCGAAGGCGACUACCUGGACCGAUGCUGACACUGAGGAGCGUAAGCGUGGGGAGC
rnacentral:rRNA from 1 species